rnacentral:tRNA from 1 species
GGCUAUGUAUUUUAAGAAAAAUGUUAAAUUGCAAAUUUAAAGAUAUAAAUGAAUAAUUGUUGUAGCUU